UGGGGAAUUUUGGACAAUGGGGGAAGCCCUGAUCCAGCCAUCCCGCGUGUGCGAUGAAGGCCUUCGGGUUGUAAAGCACUUUUGGCAGGAAAGAAACGUCAUGGGUUAAUACCCCGUGAAACUGACGGUACCUGCAGAAUAAGCACCGGCUAACUACGUGCCAGCAGCCGCGGUAAUACGUAGGGUGCAAGCGUUAAUCGGAAUUACUGGGCGUAAAGCGUGCGCAGGCGGUUCGGAAAGAAAGAUGUGAAAUCCCAGAGCUCAACUUUGGAACUGCAUUUUUAACUACCGGGCUAGAGUGUGUCAGAGGGAGGUGGAAUUCCGCGUGUAGCAGUGAAAUGCGUAGAUAUGCGGAGGAACACCGAUGGCGAAGGCAGCCUCCUGGGAUAACACUGACGCUCAUGCACGAAAGCGUGGGGAGCAAACAGG
rnacentral:rRNA from 1 species